UACAGAGGGGGCAAGCGUUAUUCGGAAUUAUUGGGCGUAAAGGGCGCGUAGGCGGCUUUUCAAGUGACGGGUGAAAUCCCUCGGCUUAACCGAGGAACUGCCUGUCAGACUGGAAGGCUUGAGACCGGGAGAGGUGAGUGGAAUUCCCAGUGUAGCGGUGAAAUGCGUAGAUAUUGGGAGGAACACCAGUGGCGAAGGCGGCUCACUGGACCGGAACUGACGCUGAGGCACGAAAGCGUGGGGAGCAAACAGG
rnacentral:rRNA from 1 species